CACAGUAACUGUUUGAAUCUACUCAUUUCUAGCUGACAGUUGGAGCUGGAAGAAGGUAUUACAUGGCUUCCUUGAGUUUUUCAUUUCCUUGUUCCUAAAUAUUUAAAAUAUAUAUAUUUAGAUUUAGUUUUUAGAGUUAGAACUAAGUUGCUUUUUGUUUUUUUGUUGUGUGGAUAUAAAUUAAAUGGCUUAUCAGUUUAAUUUAGAUAGGGUGCUGAGGCUGAAUAGUCUUCCAAAAUCUGAUUCCAAAUAUUCAAAAAUCUUAAUACUUGAUACUUUAGAGAGGGCAUUUUAGGUAGCACCAUUCCUUUACCAUAGGAGCAAAACCCUUUAUUAGGUAAGGGCUCAUCCACACUUUGCUUGCCUGUGUGUACAAAGCACAGGUCUGAGAGGUUUUCUGCUUGUCCCAGGUUUUCUAGGCAGGGGUCUGAGCAGUUUUUCCCAGCUGAUGUUUGCUCCAAUUCAGCAGUAAAGAGUUGAAUCUCAGGGGAAAGCAGCAGGGUAAACAGAAGUGUGAAGAGCCCUGAGAGAUCAGAUCUAAUGAUAACUAAUGUAUUUUUUUGUUUUGUUUUAAUGGUAUAUAUAAAUGCUAGUCUGGAGAAAAACAAGGACAGGCCAAUAUAUUGAUAUAUCAUCCCAAACCAGUUUGAAGUCUGUAUUAUGAUAUCAGUUGCAUAAUUUUUGACCUGGCGGUAUAUCACGAAUCAUGAUGUGUAUUAGGGCUGAGCAAUGUCUGGCUUUGAGAGCCAGGGUGGUGUAGUGGUUAAGAACGGUAGUCUUGUAAUCUGGUGAACCGGGUUCACGUCUCCGCUCCUCCACUUGCAGCUGCUGGGUGAACUUGGGCUGGUCACACUUCUCAGAAGUCUCUCAGUCCCACUCACCUCACAGAGUAUUUGUUGUGGAGGAGGAAGGGAAACGAGAAUGUUAGCCGCUUUGAGACUCCUUCGGGUAGCGAUAAAGCGGGAUAUCAAAUCCAAACUCUUCUUCUUCUUCUUCUUCUUUCAACAUUGUGAUAUAUCACCAGCUAAACAUCACCAAUAUACAGUGGAACCUUGGUUCUCAAACUUAAUCUGUUUCGGUCGUCUGUUCGACUCCCGAAACCAUUCGAAAACCACGGCGCGGCUUCUGAUUGGGUGCAGGAGCUUCCUUCACUCAAGUGGAAGCCAUGUCGGACGUUCGGCUUCCGAAAACGUUCACAAACCAGAAUACUUACUUCCAGGUUUGCGGCGUUCGGGAGCCGAUUUGUUCAACAACUAAGCCAUUUGAGAACCAAGGUACCACUGUAUUAUGUUAUCUAAAAUAAAGAUGUAACUGUGUAAACAGGGUAAUGUCCUGGAAACUGCUACUACUUAGGGGUCUAAAACCGAUAUGUUUUAACUUACCUUUAACAUAUUGUUACAACUGCCAUUUUAUAGUACAGAGAAACAGGGACAGAAGGAAUCAUGAGACGCAAUAACUGGCUUCACGGUUUUUCCCACAUUGCGAAUUUUUACAUAGCACACGCACACACUGUGAUUCACGAUAUAUCACCAUGUUGAAUAUUAUGAAACAGUGACCACAAUGUGGACUACAAACUGAUUUCUAACAAUGUACUGAUACGUUGCUAUCCCUAGUGUGAGUGUGUGUACUUCCUACGCAAAAAUCACAAUGUGGGGAAAACUGUGAAGCCAGCCAGUGCCUCUACAUAGCUCCAUCCGUAUUUCAGACAUCAUGAUAUAUCGGGAUAUCACGAUAUUUAGCUGGUGAUACAUUAUGAUGCAUAAUAAUAAUUUAUUGGUACUCUGCCCAUCUGACUGGGUUGCCCCAGCCACUCUGGGCAGCUUCCAGCCAGAUAUCACCCAGUUCUAGGGAAAACCACCCCCCCAAAAUUUGGGCAGCCUAUUAAGUUUUUAAAGAACCAUCAGCUGGUUGACUAUGGCUAGUUAGUACAGGCAGAAAAAAAAUAGAAGGAAAUUUGUCUUUCUGAAACAAUUUGUUUUUAACAGUUACAGUGGUACCUCGGUUUUUGAACGUAAUCCGUACUGGAAGACCAUUCAAGUUCUGAAACGUUCGAAAACCAAAAACUCAUGGCCGAAAUAUUGGGAAAUUUUGGAACAAGACGGAGAUAGAUUGAAAUUGCAGAGUUUUGAAAAACUAAAAAACAAAGUGCGAGACUGGCUUCAUUAUUAUCAGAUAAUGGAAGUAUUUAAAUUGGACAGGAAAAUUGGCUUCCAGGUGGAAAGAUCCAAAUUAGAAACAGAAUUGUUAGAACCCAAGACUAAGAAUUUGUCAAGAAUGUAUAACUUGCUGCUGAAAUGGAAUACUCAGGAUGAAACGGUAAAAUCGGCUAUGAUUAAAUGGGCACAGGACGUUGGACAUAACAUUAUGUUUGCUGACUGGGAACAGUUAUGGACCACAGGUAUGAA